CCUACCCGCAGUGGCGCCGCGUGGUGAAUUCAACUCUGAUCCUUUCCCUACAUGGACAAAGAGACCUAUGCCCAGCAGUGGGAUAUUAUAGGCUGAAUCUAUAUUUGUAUUAUCUGUAACUGUUUUA